rnacentral:rRNA from 1 species
GACGAACGCUGGCGGCGUGCUUAACACAUGCAAGUCGAACGGAAAGGCCCUUCGGGGUACUCGAGUGGCGAACGGGUGAGUAACACGUGGGUGAUCUGCCCUGCACUUUGGGAUAAGCCUGGGAAACUGGGUCUAAUACCGAAUAGGACCGCGCGCUUCAUGGUGUGUGGUGGAAAGCUUUUGCGGUGUGGGAUGGGCCCGCGGCCUAUCAGCUUGUUGGUGGGGUAAUGGCCUACCAAGGCGACGACGGGUAGCCGGCCUGAGAGGGUGACCGGCCACACUGGGACUGAGAUACGGCCCAGACUCCUACGGGAGGCAGCAGUGGGGAAUAUUGCACAAUGGGCGCAAGCCCGAUGCAGCGACGCCGCGUGAGGGAUGACGGCCUUCGGGUUGUAAACCUCUUUCACCAGGGACGAAGCGCAAGUGACGGUACCUGGAGAAGAAGCACCGGCCAACUACGUG